GUCCCUGUAGCGCAAUGGAUAAUGCGUUGGUCUCCUAAGCCAAAGGUUAUGGCUUUGAACCCCAACUGGGAUG